rnacentral:tRNA from 1 species
ACUUGAGUAGUUUAAUUUAAAAUGUUGAUUUGUGGGGUCAAUGAUAUAAAGAUUUAUUUCAAGUC